UUUCCGUAGGUGAACCUGCGGAAGGAUCAUUAAAGAGAAUAUGCCCUUCGGGGUAGAUCUCCCACCCUUUGUUUAUAUUACCUUUGUUGCUUUGGCAGGCCCGUCUUCGGACCACCGGCUUCGGCUGGUCAGUGCUUGCCAGAGGACCCAAAACUCUUAUUAUUAAUGUCGUCUGAGUACUAUAUAAUAGUCAAAACUUUCAACAACGGAUCUCUUGGUUCUG
rnacentral:misc_RNA from 1 species